rnacentral:lncRNA from 1 species
CCGCAUCCCGGGUGCAAGCGGAUCACCAAAAUCCAAGCUGGUUCCAAUUUCCCCCAGUUGCCUGCCUUUGAAACACUCAGAAGGCCCACUCUGUUCUCCAGCCUUAUUACAUGGGGUUUUUGUCUCUCCAAGUCAUUCCUCAGCAUCGCCUUGAAUGGCAUCUACUGCACAUAACUUUUUCAGCCCACAAGGCUGAAACACUUCCUGUGACUGAAAUGGCUCCAACACAGCUAUUUCCUAGAAGACAUUCUCCCUGAUUUCUUGUGGUGCCUGUAAGAUAACUGGAGAUGCAGACCUGGUAUAGAUCUGAGCACCCUCAAUGUCUUCUCAAUGAAAAACACUCCUGAUGCAUCCAGGGGAAGUCAUUGGUUCUUUGAGCAGACACACAGGUAUAGUAUCCUGUUCAAACCAUUUC